UACGUAGGGGGCAAGCGUUGUCCGGAUUUAUUGGGCGUAAAGAGCGUGUAGGCGGCCCGGUAAGUCCGCUGUGAAAGUCGGGGGCUCAACCCUCGAAUGCCGGUGGAUACUGUCGGGCUAGAGUGCGGGAGAGGCGAGUGGAAUUCCUGGUGUAGCGGUGAAAUGCGCAGAGAUCCGGAAGAACACCAGUGGCGAAGGCGGCCCGCUGGGCAGUGGCUGACGCUGAGGCGCGACAGCGUGGGGAGCAAACAGG
rnacentral:rRNA from 1 species